rnacentral:rRNA from 1 species
UGUCAGACUUGAGUACCCGCAGCGCAGCGGAAUUCAUGGUGUAGCGGUGAAAUGUUAGAUAUCAUGAGGAACUCCGAUCGCGAAGGCAGCCUGCGGGAGUGUUACUGACGCUUAAGCUCGAAGGUGCGGGUAUCGAACAGGAUUAGAUACCUUGGUAGUCCGCACUGUAAACGAUGGAUGCCCGCCGUUGGCGCGCUGCGCCUGCGNCCAAGCGAAAGCAUUAAGCAUCCCACAUGGGGAGUACGCCGGCAACGGUGAAACUCAAAGGAAUUGACGGGGGCCCGCACAAGCGGAGGAACAUGUGGUUUAAUUCGAUGAUACGCGAGGAACCUUACCCGGGCUUGAAUUGCGGUCGCUGCCCACAGAGACGUGGGCUUCCCUUCGGGGCGUCUGUGAAGGUGCUGCAUGGUUGUCGUCAGCUCGUGCCGUGAGGUGUCGNCUUAAGUGCCAUANCGAGCGCAACCCCCUUUCCCAGUUGCCAUUGGGUGAUNCCGGGCACUCUGGGGACACUGCCACCGCAAGGUGCGAGGAAGGUGGGGAUGACGUCAAAUCAGCACGNCCCUUACGUCCGGGGCUACACACGUGUUACAAUGGUCGGUACAGAGGGACGGUGCAAUGCAAGUUGCAUCCAAUCUUGAAAUCCGGUCCCAGUUCGGACUGGGGUCUGCAACCCGACCCCACGAAGCUGGAUUCGCUAGUAAUCGCGCAUCAGCCAUGGCGCGGUGAAUACGUUCCCGGGCCUUGUACACACCGCCCGUCAAGCCAUGAAAGCCGGGGGUGCCUGAAGUUCGUGACCGCGAGGAGCGAGCCUAGGGCAAGACCGGUGAUUGGGGUCUAAGUCGUAACAAGGUAACC